GGGUGCGAGCGUUAAUCGGAAUUACUGGGCGUAAAGCGUGCGCAGGCGGUUGUGUAAGACAGGUGUGAAAUCCCCGGGCUUAACCUGGGAACUGCGCUUGUGACUGCACGGCUAGAGUACGGCAGAGGGGGGUGGAAUUCCACGUGUAGCAGUGAAAUGCGUAGAUAUGUGGAGGAACACCGAUGGCGAAGGCAGCCCCCUGGGCCGAUACUGACGCUCAUGCACGAAAGCGUGGGGAGCAA
rnacentral:rRNA from 1 species